AUGUGAGUUUAAUGUUCAUGUUUAUCAAAUUAAUAUAGCAAUCUUGAUCUUUUUCUUCCUUCUCUUACAAGUUUAUAGUAGCAAGUAAAUAUCACCCGUAAGAAACACCACCACCGCUGUACCCUUCCCCUGCUCUAGACUGCUAUUGUCACCUCCCUCACACACCGACCCAGCUCACGCAACCUCCCAGUUCACGCCCAUCUUUUUCCUCCUCCAUUUAUAGCUUGUUCUUAAGGAAACCCGCUACUCCAUUCGUGCAAGUCAAAUGGAAUCGGACCUCGGAGCUCAGUAAGAACAAUAAAUUAAAAGCAUACAGGAAGGUUAUCAGGCUAUAAAUUGAGGUACUGUUGGGAAUGAUGGAGACGAGUAGUGGCGAGGAUUUUUUUUUCAGUUACCACUUAGUAGUUUACAGUUUUAAGUUGUUUAAUUUGAAUAGUAAGACUAAACUACUUUAGUAAGUUUAUGUUAUGAUAGAAUAUGCUAUUAUAGAGAUAAGAAUAAUGUUUGUAAUAAAU